rnacentral:tRNA from 1 species
GCACCGGUAGCUCAAUGGAUAGAGCACCAGGCUUCGGACCUGGGUGUUGGGAGUUCGAGUCUUCUCCGGUGUACCA